rnacentral:SRP_RNA from 1 species
GCCGGGCGUGGUGGCGGGCGCCUGUAAUCCCAGCUACUGGGGAGGCUGAGGCAGGAGAAUCCCUUGAACCCGGGAGGCAGGGGUUGCAGUGAGCUGAGAUCGAACCACUGCACUCCAGCCUGGGCGACAGAGGAAGAUUCCGUCUCCA